rnacentral:rRNA from 1 species
UACGUAGGGUGCAGGCGUUAAUCGGAAUUACUGGGCGUAAAGCGUGCGCAGGCGGUCUUUUAAGUCAGAUGUGAAAUCCCCGGGCUUAACCUGGGAACUGCGUUUGAAACUGGAAAGCUAGAGUGUGGCAGAGGGGGGUGGAAUUCCACGUGUAGCAGUGAAAUGCGUAGAUAUGUGGAGGAACACCGAUGGCGAAGGCAGCCCCCUGGGCUAACACUGACGCUCAUGCACGAAAGCGUGGGGAGCAAACAGG